AGGACAGGGUAUGAGUCUAAUGGUCUUCUGUGCGUGACUGACGUGGUUCUUCACGCUGCAGCUGAUGUCUCCAUCAGUUCUCUCAUCCAGAUCAAUGCUGCUGUUUCCAUCCAUCAGUGGAUCUCCAUUCAGAGUCCAGCUGUAGAGGAGAUGAUCCCCCUCAGAGGAGCAGAACACCCUCAUCACCCCACUGGAGGAGCAGAUGAUUGACACUUCCACUGAGCCAAAAGGAGCUGGAGGGAGGGACACAUCACAGUCACAUGACAAACACAAACUCUUGUUCUUCCACACUACUCAUAUUAUUACUGGAGUAUGCAGUGUGUUUACUGUGUGCUACAGGAAUAAAAAUCUUCACAGAGAUGCAAGUGAUUCAUUUGUAUGAGAGUGAGAUGUUUGGAGAACAUGAGAUUGUAAAGAGUCUGAUGAGAGAGUUUCUGUACCUUCAACAAUCACCUGAAGAUCUCUAGAUGUUUCUGAGCCGUCUGAGUGAACAAGAGUUAAUGUGUAAUUCCCUGAAUCUGCUCUGAUCACACGGUUUAUUAUCACAGUCCCAUUAAUGACUGUCACUUCAGUUCUGUUAUUAUAAAGAUCACACUGACUCAUCCUCAUCCUGCCAUUCUUUACUCUACAAACUGGACCAUCUGCUGUAUUGUUGUUUAUUCUCUUUUUUAACUGCAGGUCAUAUUUACUAGCAUCCAUCACCAUCAGCAGAUUGAGUUUGUGUCCCAGAGCUGCAUUACAUGGACCAGACUGAUCAAAACUGCAGUUAAACUCCAGACCUGAAGAACAAAACACACACAAUAUAAUGUACCAAAAUCUAUAAACAUCAUUCAUUAAAAUCAGACACAAAUUACACAAACAUUAACAGAAUUAAAGUUCAUCUGAAGAAACAUCAGACAGACUCUUGAUUUGAUCUCAGUUCAUCUCAAUAAUGCUCAUCUUCAUCAUAAACAGAUUUUUGUGAUUUGUGUGUCUCCAGACUUACUACUAAUUAGCAGGAUACUGAACAUUAUCACAUUACUGGACAUAUUUAACUCUUUUUAGUGUGUAGUAAAAAAAUAACUGUUAAAGUUAUGCAUUUUGACACUGUAAUAUCAGCUGUAUGGCCUCAGUCAAAAAGCAAAUCUAAAUGUUGAUUGUAUUCAAAUGUAACUAUCAUGCUUUCACUGUCUGCAAACACUUUAUGCAUUUCUUCAUUAUUCUGACAAAUCAUAAAUUGACUUUGUCAGGCACUUUCUGUCCAAUUCCAUUAACCUGUGACAUUUCUCUGUUUAUAAAUAAUGUCUUGAUCUUUCUGACAUCAGAUUUAAUGGACUGACAUCAUUUGAUGAAUCCUUCCUCAAACUUUCAGCACAACAGACAUGAAGAAAGAAACACACACUUCCUCUCACAUUUUAAACACUCCACUAAUAUAAACUGUACAGACCAGAAAAGUCUAUGACUAGAUCACUACAGACUCUUAAUGUAAUAUUGCAACUAGACUGUUUAAUUAAUGUGCUAAUUGCUGUCAAUAAUCAUGGGAAAAUAAUAAUGUGUUAAAAAUAUUCACACAAUUAAUGCACCCCGCUCUAUCCAGUCCUGUCCGUCAUCUUACACUGAUGCAGCUGCUGAUGAACAUGAUGCAGGACAACUGAAUGUGUGAUGAAGACUAUUAGAAUGCUGUUAUAUGCCACUAAAAUACAAUGGCAAAAGUGUACAGGUUAG
ensembl:lncRNA